AAGGAAUAUUGGUCAAUGGACGCAAGUCUGAACCAGCCAUGCCGCGUGAAGGAUGAAGGUCCUCUGGAUUGUAAACUUCUUUUAUCUGGGACGAAAACGGGAUUUUUAUCUCAAUUGACGGUACCAGAGGAAUAAGCACCGGCUAACUCCGUGCCAGCAGCCGCGGUAAUACGGAGGGUGCGAGCGUUAUCCGGAUUUACUGGGUUUAAAGGGUGCGUAGGUGGGCUUAUAAGUCAGUGGUGAAAUCUCCGAGCUUAACUUGGAAACUGCCGUUGAUACUAUAGGUCUUGAAUUAUCUGGAGGUAAGCGGAAUAUGUCAUGUAGCGGUGAAAUGCUUAGAUAUGACAUAGAACACCGAUUACGAAGGCAGCUUACUACAUAUAAAUUGACGCUGAGGCACGAAAGCGUGGGGAACAAACA
rnacentral:rRNA from 1 species